CCUAUACAGAGACAAGACAAUCAAGUCAUAUUUGGCAAUGCAUCCCAACUAGGCAAGCAGUCACUACCUGACUAUUCCCCCAAACUCCCUCAUUCUGCUCUGCACCCUGCAAGCAGCCUCUAAAAUGAAAAAAAGGUUGGGAGUUGGCCAUGGAUUCUGUUGUCGUCUCCUAGACAUGGUUCACUCCUAUUUGGAGCCAUUAAUCAAGCCAGAACCAGUAGGCUGCCAACCCCUACUGAAGGUAUAGAUACCCAAAUGAAAGACCUGCUUGCUGUGCUGACACCACUCUUAAUGACUCAAACAUCUGGAAAACAACAUUUCACAGUGAUGAUCACAACUUCACUGAUAAGCAAUAACUCGCAUGGUGUGUACUGUGCAUUAGGAGCUCAACAGGAGAAGCAAAGCGGUGUCGCUUUCAAGGUGCCACAAGAACUCAGUGCUCUCCUUUGAGAGAAAGGCUUUUGCAUCUCACAGUGGUGCCUUCAGGUAAUAGAUGGUGCAUUCAACCGAGACUUCAGUCCUUUACGAUUAUGGGAAAUAAGCCACAUUUAAAUCUUGGCCCAUCCAGUUUCCUAUUUCUAGCUUGUUCAUGCCCAUUUAAGAAUUUAAUUUUUUUAAAUAUUAGAUUUGUUUUAUAAUCACAAAAGUAAUACAUACAAUUUAAGUAACGGUGCUGGACAGGGGCAGAUUAUGUUUCUUCCUUUUUUUUUUUCUUUUUUUUGAGACGGAGUCUUGAUCUGUUGCCCAGGCUGGAGUGCAGUGGCGCGAUCUAGGCUCACUGCAAGCUCCACCUCCCAGGUUCACGCCAUUCUCCUGCCUCAGCCUCCUGAGUAGCUGGGACUACAGGCGCCCACCACCAUGCCUGGCUAAUUUUUUUGUAUUUUUUUACUAGAGAUGGGGUUUCACCAUGUUAGUCAGGAUGGUCUCGAUCUCCUGACCUCGUGAUCCUCCCGCCUCGGCCUCCCAAGGUGCUGGGAUUACAGGCAUGAGCCACCGCGCCCAGCCUAUGUUUCUUAAACAUUUUAUAUUGUAUUGAUAUUACUUCCCUACUGUGUUUUUAUAAUAAUUACUACAAUCCCAAUUCUGUAUCUUCCUGUAAUCCCUCAUUCUGUAUGCCACCAACACCACAAAACACGCACCAACAGAUAUCUUUAAGUGAGCAGUUACUUAUCUGUACCUUCCAGUGUUGCUGCAAUGAUUAUGUAUUAGUUGUACAUUUUAAAGUAACUAAGAGUGUAACUGGAUUGUUUGUAACACAAAAGUUAAAUGCUUGAGGGGAUGGAUACCCCAUUUUCCAUGAUGUGAGUAUUAUGCAUUGCAUGCCUGUAUCAAAACAUCUCAUGUACCCCAUAAAUAUAUACACCUAUUAUGUGUCCGCAAAUUUAAAUUUUAAAAAUAUAAUGAUAAAUUUAAAAAAAUCUAAGGAGAAAAAUCCAUUUGAUAGAACUAGUUAAACCACCUUUAUAGAUGGUUCUCAUAUUUCCUCCUCCCAUUAUGCUUAUUAUCUACAUUUUCUCUGGCUAGGACUUCUAACAACUGGCCUGGAUUUCAAACUGUAGUCCUACAAUAAGCCUGUCACCUAUUCCCUGGAUGUAGGAACUGUCACAAAGUAGUCUUAACAUUCAACUCUUCUCCAUGUCAACCAGACCUAACACCACAAUACUACAUUCUUCUUCAAGUCAGGGAUGCUCUCACACAUUUUAACUCAAGCUUUCAUUGAUUAAUUCUGUUUUCCGAUGCUUCUCUGGCUUGUCUAAGCAGAAAUAAUUGACAAACGGGGAAGCAAGAUAGGCAAGGCUGCCAUGAGCACUGUAUGUCAAAUAUUAGCCACAGAGAGGUGAGAAAGGUAUGAAAAGAGGACAAGUACACAUUCAAUCAAUGGGUAAUGGCAAUGUGGACAGAACAAAGUCUAUAAUUUUCAAACAAAAGGAAUGCCUCUUGAGGAGUAGCUGAUAAUGAGGGCAAAAAGUCAAAUUCUCUCAGCUUUUUAAUUAAGUUUACUUAGUACAGGAACAAAGGUGCUCAGUAAAUAUUCUUGGUUCACUACAAUGACAGACACACACACACACUCUGAAACUGAUAUGAAAUUCAUCUAAAUGUUAAUAAUAGUUGUUUCCAAGGAGUUGAAUUUUUGAGUACUUUUCUGCAUUUCAGUAUGGUUUUUUUUUUUUUUCCUAAUGUUUCCUAAUGAAUCUAGUCUGGGUUACUUUUAUUAUGAGGGAAAAAAAAUGACUUAUCCAAAAAAGAAAUAUAUGCCAGCAUCCUGAAUGGUAAGAAACUCAUCUGAGCAUUGACACCUCUAACCUACGUGGCCAACUGAGCUCAGGUCCAGAAAUAAUGGAUCUAAUAAUAAUGAAGAAAGCAGACAGCAGGCUUAAGCUCCCACUGAGCAGAAUCUGGAAUGAGUCCUAAAGCUUUAUGUUACUCUAGUGUCUUUAAAGAGAAAAGUAAGUCUAGGCCUUCCUUAGUACAUGCUAUGUUUGCAUAAUCACAAGGAUUUGGCUUCCGUUCUAGUAGAGAUUAGCUGCUAAAAGCUAGAUCUGGCAACUAGCUGCGAACUAUAACAGAUUUGACUGUGGCCAUAUUCUUUUUGCCUAUGCCAAUAGAAAGGGCAUUGUUGUAAAGCAGAUGGAACCCCUAGAACACAAUUGAUGCUUUAUUAAUUCAUUACCUAAAUAUUUACUGAGGGACUACUCAGUUCCUAUGCCAAAACAUUUUAUACUCUGGGUAUUCAAAAGAGGACAAAUGAAACAUUUAGACAAUGUCUCUUCUCUCACAGAUCUUACAUUUUAUCAGGAUGUAGGCAACAAAAAUAUUAAGAAAAAUUGAGAAAGGAUGCUACUUUCAGCAAGAUAUUUAGUGAAGUCUUAUCUGACAAGCUGACACUUAAACACAGAAUUAAAGAAGUGAAAGGACAAACCAUAUGAACAUUUGGAUAAAGAGCAUUCUGGACAGAGGGACUAGAAAGUGCAAAAACUCUGAAGGAGUGUUCUUAAAGUAUUGAGUAACAAUGCUUGGAGAACAGUGAGGAAAGAUACAGUAGUCUGGGGACAGCUAAUGGAGUGCUUUGGGAAAUAGUAAGGAUUUUGGAUUUUAUUCAGUAUAAUAAGUCACUAGAGAAUUUUGCACAGAGGAUAAUAGCAUAGUUACAUUUUAAAUGGAUCUUUCUGGUCAUGUGUAAAACAUAACUAAAUGGAGGCAAGACGAAAUGCAAGGGGUUGAAGGAUAAAGUAAGAAUCUAGGCUAGAGAUGAUGCUGUCUUGAUGAAAGUGGUGACAGUGGAAAUGAAGAGGAAUGGUUACAUUCAGAGUAAACUUCAAAAGUUGUUGAACCAACAGUUUUGCCGAUGUGGGAUGUGAACCAAAGAGUGACAACAGAGAUUAUCCCAAAAUUUCUCACCUAAGUAACUAGACGUUACUGUUUACUUGAAAGAGAACAUCAUGGUAGAAACAGAUUUGGCAGAUCAAGAAAUCAAGUUUGGAUAUAUCAUAUUUAAGUAGACAUUUGAAUAUGAGUCUGAUGUCCAAGGGAAAGAUUCAAGGAAUAAAUAGAACCUGGGGAAUCUUCCAUAUACAGAUGGUAAUUAAAACAUAAUGUAGGAAGUGAACACAUUUAAACAAGAGAAAGGGUCCAGGGACAGAGCCUCGGGACUUCAACAUUUAGAGGUCAUAAUGAAGAAGAUGAUCUAGCAGAAAAUAUUGACAGGGAGCAGCAAUGAGGCAAGGAGGGAAAGUAGUAAGAGAACGAUGUCCCAAAAGUCAACUGAAAAAACUAUCUAAGAGAAUGAACUUUGAAUAAUACUUCUUAAAGUUUCCAUGUCUUGUUUCUGAUCUCAGAGCCCUGGUGGAAACACACUACCUUAGAUAAAAAUGAAGUUUCCACAUCCCUUUGAAAUACAUGUAGUAGACCAGUGAAUUCAGUGUCAUCCCAUUAUUGCAUUUUACACAAGUGGUCUGCUUUAUACCAGCCAGUUGAAAUUCCCUCC
rnacentral:lncRNA from 1 species